rnacentral:rRNA from 1 species
UGGGAUUAGAUACCCCACUAUGCAUAACUGUAAACAUUGAUAGCAAUUUACUCGCGAUCCGCCAGGGAACUACAAGCACUGGCUUGAAACCCAAAGGACUUGGCGGUGCUUUAGACCCACCUAGAGGAGCCUGUUCUAGAACUGAUAACCCCCGUUCAACCUCACCCUGCUUUGCCAUUCCCGCCUAUAUACCGCCGUCGUCAGCUUACCUUGUGAGAGAUUAUAAGUGAGCAAGAUUGGUACAACCCAAAACGUCAGGUCGAGGUGUAGUGUAUAGCAGGGGAAGAAAUGGGCUACAUUUAUCAAUCGAUAAAUACGGAUCUUUAAUURAAAAAUAAAGCURAAGGAGGAUUUAGCAGUAAGGAGAAAAUAGAGAGUUCUCCUGAAGCAGGCUCUGAAGCGCGCACACACCGCCCGUCACCCUCUG